rnacentral:rRNA from 1 species
UACGUAGGUGGCAAGCGUUGUCCGGAUUUAUUGGGUUUAAAGGGUGCGUAGGUGGUCUAUUAAGUCAGUGCUGAAAUAUCCCGGCUUAACCGGGAGGGUGGCAUUGAUACUGAUGGACUUGAGUGGAGUUGAGGUAGGCGGAAUUGACGGUGUAGCGGUGAAAUGCUUAGAUAUCGGGAGGAACACCAGUAGCGAAGGCGGCUCGCUGGGCCAUUCCUGACGCUGAGACGCGAAAGCUAGGGGAGCGAACAGG